rnacentral:rRNA from 1 species
UACGUAGGUGGCAAGCGUUGUUCGGAAUUACUGGGCGUAAAGCGUGCGUAGACGGUCAUGUAAGUCGGGUGUGAAAGCCCCGGGCUCAACCUGGGAAUUGCAUUCGAGACUGCAUGGCUAGGAUGCGGAAGAGGGAAGCGGAAUUUCCGGUGUAGCGGUGAAAUGCGUAGAUAUCGGAAGGAACACCAGUGGCGAAAGCGGCUUCCUGGUCCAGCAUCGACGUUCAGGCACGAAAGCGUGGGGAGCAAACAGG